rnacentral:rRNA from 1 species
AAAUUGAAGAGUUUGAUCAUGGCUCAGAUUGAACGCUGGCGGCAGGCCUAACACAUGCAAGUCGAGCGGAAACGAGUUAUCUGAACCUUCGGGGRACGAUAACGGCGUCGAGCGGCGGACGGGUGAGUAAUGCCUAGGAAAUUGCCCUGAUGUGGGGGAUAACCAUUGGAAACGAUGGCUAAUACCGCAUGAUGCCUACGGGCCAAAGAGGGGGACCUUCGGGCCUCUCGCGUCAGGAUAUGCCUAGGUGGGAUUAGCUAGUUGGUGAGGUAAGGGCUCACCAAGGCGACGAUCCCUAGCUGGUCUGAGAGGAUGAUCAGCC